rnacentral:rRNA from 1 species
CGACGGUGAGUAACACGUAUCCAACCUGCCGUCUACUCUUGGACAGCCUUCUGAAAGGAAGAUUAAUACAAGAUGGCAUCAUGAGUCCGCAUGUUCACAUGAUUAAAGGUACUUCCGGUAGACGAUGGGGAUGCGUUCCAUUAGAUAGUAGGCGGGUAACGGCCCACCUAGUCUUCGAUGGAUAGGGGUUCUGAGAGGAAGGUCCCCCACAUUGGAACUGAGACACGGUCCAA